UUGAAAGGGAAACGAUUGAAGUCAGUCGUACCGACGGAAAAUCAGCUCUUCGAGUGUGAACUUGUGGGCGUACGUGAGCUUUAACCGGCCUCGUUGUUUGCGAUGUUUGUACUUUUUGGGUGUACUUUUUCGUAUGGUUGGCCAACGUCAGUCUCGGUCACCAUAAAAUGAUUGGAGGAAUGUAGCUUCGAUCUUGUAUUGAAGUGUUAUAGCCUCUGGUAGAUGUGGUGAACGAAACUGAGGAUUGCAACGAAUACCCUUUGGGCUAUCCGUCUGACCUCUGAAAGUUGCUUGGGUGCCGAAAGCUUGCUUACGGUCAUUCAUGACGACGGUCAAAAGGUUAGAACGCGAUUACAUUCGUUAAGGAUGUUGACGUA
rnacentral:rRNA from 1 species